rnacentral:rRNA from 1 species
AUUCCAGCUCCAAUAGCGUAUAUUAAAGUUGUUGCGGUUAAAAAGCUCGUAGUUGGACUUCUGUUGGGGAUGAUCGGUCCGCCCUCUGGGUAGGUAUCAGGUCAGCCCUGGCAUCUUCUUGAAGAACGUAUCUGCACUUGACUGUGUGGUGCGGUAUUCAGGACCCUUACUUUGAGGAAAUUAGAGUGUUUCAAGCAAGCGCACGCUUUGAAUACAUUAGCAUGGAAUAAUAAGAUAGGACCCUGGCUCUAUUUUGUUGGUUUCUAGAGCCAAGGUAAUGAUUGAUAGGGACUGUUGGGGGCAUUCGUACUUAACUGUCAGAGGUGAAGUUCUUGGAUUUGUUAAAGAUGGACUACUGCGAAAGCAUUUGCCAAGGAUGUUUUCAUCG